rnacentral:rRNA from 1 species
AUAUUAUUCAGCGGAGGAAAAGAAAACAACCGUGAUUCCCUCAGUCAGGGGCGACCGAAGAGGGACCGGACCCGUUGCUGAAUCUGGCCCUCAAACGGGCUUGAGUUGUGGCAAUGACGCUGAUUGUGGUUGGUAAGCGGACUGGGUGAAUUUCAUGUGNCAAGCAGACCCNGUGCUGGGACCACCUCUCUUGUGAGUAUUGAGCCCNUAGACCGUGUUAGCCCGUUGAGGCAGGAACCGCAGCCUCAUGAAACAGCACCAAGCAAGUAGCCCUGCUUUGGAAUGCAGUGGUGAGUGGCAAGGUAUGUUUCUGCAAGGUUAAAUCAGAGGUAGGAAGCCCGAUAGCGAACCAGUAGCGUGACGNAAGNUUGAAAAGCACUUUGGAAGAGAGUGACAUAGAACCUGAAGUCGUGACACGAAUAAGGGACGUACUNNCAUUUCAUUUUUCGUCAGGGGCCGACCACUAANGCAUUCUCCCGAUCGGACUCACGAGGCCGGGCGGGCAACUAAAGUGCAGAAGAGGGGUACCGGCAAAUCGAGCGGAAGUAAAGGCGUGCGUCCCGGCGUGGCGAGUGUAAAAAGCUCGUCUGCGCCGCACGCGUGCGUCCUUUCCGUGAUGCUCAAACACUUGACGCUGGAAAUGGGGUGCCUCCA